AACGUAGGACGCAAGCGUUAUCCGGAGUUACUGGGCGUAAAGGGCAGGCAGGCGGGUCGAUAAGUCGGAUGUGAAAUCUCCCUGGCUUAACCUGGGACUGCGUUUGAAACUACAAGGCUAGAGUGUGGCAGAGGGGGGGUGGAAUUCCACGUGUAGCAGUGAAAUGCGUAGAGAUGUGGAGGAACACCAGUGGCGAAGGCGAGUCCCUGGACAACACCUGACACUGAGCACGAAAGGCCGGGGGAGCAAACGA
rnacentral:rRNA from 1 species